UACGUAGGGUGCGAGCGUUGUCCGGAAUUAUUGGGCGUAAAGGGCUCGUAGGCGGCUUGUCGCGUCGGGAGUGAAAGCCCGCUGCUUAACGGCGGGUUUGCUUUCGGUACGGGCAGGCUGGAGUACGGCAGGGGAGACUGGAAUUCCCGGUGUAGCGGUGAAAUGCGCAGAUAUCGGGAAGAACACCCGUGGCGAAGGCGGCACUCUGGGACGGUACUGACGCUGAGACGCGAAAGCGUGGGGAGCGAACAGG
rnacentral:rRNA from 1 species